CAGAUGGCCGGCCGGACGGGCGCGCGCACUCGGCGGCCAGGCGAGGCGGGAGCGCGCCCUGGGGGCGGGCACUGAGGCUCGGGCCUGCGGUUCACCGGGUCAUAGGGCACCAGGCGCUCGGGCCUCGGCCAUGGCUCACAGGCCGAAAAGGACUUUUCGGCAGCGCGCGGCCGAUUCCAGCGACAGCGAUGGCGCCGAGGAGUCGCCCGCUGAGCCUGGGGCGCCGAGGGAACUUCCGGUCCCGGGUUCUGCGGAGGAAGGGCCGACCUCUGGAGGAGGCCGCGCGCAGGUGGCGGGACGGCCCCACCGGGUUCGGGGCCCUCGUGGCCGGGGCCGGGUCUGGGCGAGCUCCCGGCGCGCCACGAAAGCGGCUCCCCGCGCGGACGAAGGCUCAGAAUCCAGAACCCUUGAUGUGUCCACAGAUGAAGAGGAUGAAAUACAUCACUCCUCAGAAAGUAAGGAUGAUCAGGGUUUGUCUUCUGACAGCUCUAGCUCUCUUGGAGGAAAAGAACUUUCAUCAACAGUUAAGAUCCCAGAUGCAGCUUUUAUUCAGGCAGCCCGCAGAAAACGUGAAUUGGCCAGGGCCCAAGAUGACUAUAUUUCUUUGGAUGUAGAACAUACCUCCUCCAUCUCUGGUAUGAAGAGAGAGAGUGAAGAUGACCCUGAGAGUGAGCCUGAUGACCAUGAGAAGAGAAUACCAUUUACUCUAAGACCUCAAACACUUAGACAAAGGAUGGCUGAGGAAUCAAUAAGCAGAAAUGAAGAAACAAGUGAAGAAAGUCAGGAAGAUGAAAAGCAAGAUACUUGGGAACAACAGCAAAUGAGGAAAGCAGUUAAAAUCAUAGAGGAAAGAGACAUAGAUCUUUCCUGUGGCAGUGGAUCUUCAAAAGUGAAGAAAUUUGAUACUUCCAUUUCAUUUCCACCGGUAAAUUUAGAAAUUAUAAAGAAGCAAUUAAAUAUUAGAUUAACAUUACUACAGGAAACUCACCGCUCACACCUGAGGGAGUAUGAAAAAUAUGUACAAGAUGUCAAAAGCUCAAAGAGUACCAUCCAGAACCUAGAGAGUUCAUCAAAUCAAGCUCUGAAUUGUAAAUUCUAUAAAAGCAUGAAAAUUUAUGUGGAAAAUUUAAUUGACUGCCUUAAUGAAAAGAUUAUCAACAUCCAAGAAAUAGAAUCAUCCAUGCAUGCACUCCUUUUAAAACAAGCUAUGACCUUUAUGAAACGCAGGCAAGAUGAAUUAAAACAUGAAUCAACGUAUUUACAACAGUUAUCACGCAAAGAUGAGACAUCCACAAGUGGAAACUUCGCAGUAGAUGAAAAAACUCAGUGGAUUUUAGAAGAGAUUGAAUCUCGAAGGACAAAAAGAAGACAAGCAAGGGUGCUUUCUGAGAAUUGUAACCAUCAGGAAGGGACAUCUAGUGAUGAUGAACUGCCUUCAGCAGAGAUGAUUGACUUCCAAAAAAGCCAAGGUGACAUUUUACAGAAACAGAAGAAAGUUUUUGAAGAUGUGCAUGAUGAUUUUUGUAAUAUCCAGAAUAUUUUGUUGAAAUUUCAGCAAUGGCGAGAAAAGUUUCCUGACUCCUAUUAUGAAGCUUUCAUUAGUUUAUGCAUACCAAAGCUUUUAAAUCCCCUAAUACGAGUUCAGUUGAUUGAUUGGAAUCCUCUUAAGUUGGAUUCCACAGGUUUAAAAGAGAUGCCAUGGUUCAAAUCUGUGGAAGAAUUUAUGGAUAGCAAUGUAGAAGAUUCAAAGAAGGAAAGUAGUUCAGAUAAAAAAAUCUUGUCUACCAUCAUCAACAAAACAAUUAUUCCCCGACUUACAGACUUUGUAGAAUUCCUUUGGGAUCCUUUGUCAGCCUCACAGACAACAAGUUUAAUAACACAUUGCAGAGUGAUUCUUGAAGAACAUUCCACUUGUGAAAAUGAAGUUAGUAAAAGCAAACAGGAUUUACUUAAAUCCAUUGUUUCAAGAAUGAAAAAGGCAGUAGAAGAUGAUGUUUUUAUUCCUCUGUAUCCAAAGAGUGCUGUAGAAAACAAAACAUCACCUCAUUCAAAGUUCCAAGAAAGACAGUUCUGUUCAGGCCUAAAGCUCUUCCGCAAUAUUUUUCUUUGGAAUGGACUCCUUACAGAUGACACCUUGCAAGAACUAGGACUAGGGAAGCUGCUAAAUCGUUACCUUAAUAUAGCUCUUCUCAAUGCCACACCUGGGCCAGAUGUGGUUAAAAAGUGCAACCAGGUAGCAGCAUGUCUACCAGAAAAAUGGUUUGAAAAUUCUGCCAUGAGGACAUCUAUUCCACAGCUAGAAAACUUCAUUCAGUUUUUAUUGCAGUCUGCACAUAAAUUAUCUAGAAGUGAAUUCAGGGAUGAAGUCGAAGAAAUAAUUCUUAUUUUGGUGAAAAUAAAAGCUUUGAAUCAAGCAGAAUCCUUCAUAGGAGAGCAUCACCUAGACCAUCUUAAAUCACUAAUUAAAGAAGAUUGAAUAAACUUUAUUGGAAAAUGCUAAAGUUUUAAUAUAGUUACACUCAGUUCCUUUGCUUAAGAAGAAGCUGGUGCCUCUCCUUUAUUCCCUGUAAUAGAAGGUUUUUCAAAAUUAAAUACAUUAUUGAAGAAUGUAUGUGUUGGCAGUAAACUAAAAGAAAUGCAAGGGAAUGAUUAACAAGUCAAGAUGAUAUUUACAUUUAAAAAGGAGAGAGAUACAAUUGCAGAUAUACCGGAGUCUUCUGAGAUCUUAUUAAAUGUUUUAUUUCUUAACAUUCUUAGAUAUUAAUAAAUGUUCUAUUUCUUAACCUGA